rnacentral:rRNA from 1 species
CCUACGGGUGGCAGCAGUGGGGAAUAUUGCGCAAUGGGCGAAAGCCUGACGCAGCGACGCCGCGUGAGGGAUGAAGGUCUUCGGAUCGUAAACCUCUGUCAGCAGGGAAGAACGGUCACUGUGCUAAUCAGCAGUGAAUUGACGGUACCUGCAAAGGAAGCACCGGCUAACUCCGUGCCAGCAGCCGCGGUAAUACGGAGGGUGCGAGCGUUAAUCGGAAUUACUGGGCGUAAAGCGCUCGUAGGCGGUAUGUCAAGUCAAGGGUGAAAUCCCCGCGCUCAACGUGGGAACUGCCUUUGAAACUGGCAAACUUGAGUGUGUGAGAGGAUAGUGGAAUUCCAGGUGUAGGAGUGAAAUCCGUAGAUAUUAGGAGGAACACCAGUGGCGAAGGCGGCUUACUGGACUGUAACUGACGUUGAGGCUCGAAAGCGUGGGGAGCAAACAGGAUUAGAUACCCUUGUAGUC